rnacentral:misc_RNA from 1 species
CAACCCUCAAGCCUAGCUUGGUAUUGGGUGUCAUCAGUUUUGGUGCUCCCUAAAAUUAGUGGCGGUGCCAGUUCGGCCUCAAGCGUAGUAGCAUUUCUCGCUUUGGAAGCCGGGUUGUGUGCUUGCCAGCAAUCACCAAAUAUUCAAAGG